rnacentral:rRNA from 1 species
GACGAACGCUGUCGGCGUGCCUAAUACAUGCACGUAGCACGCAGUUGCGAACGGGUGAGUAACGCGUAGGUAACUGCCUCAUAGCGUGGGAUAACUCUUGGAAACGAUCACUAAUACGGCAUACUGUGAGAUGGACCUGCGUUGUAUUAGCUAGUUGGUGAGGUAAAGGCCAACCAAGGCGACGAUACAUAGCCUACCUGAGAGGGUGAUGCGCCACGAGGGGACUGAGACACGUCGCAGACUCGUACGGGAGGUAGCAGAUGGGAAUCUUCGGCAAUGGACGGAAGUCUGACCGAGUAACGCUGGGGGAGUGAAGAAGGUUGUCGGAGCGUAAAGCUCUGAUGUUAUAGAAGCGGUAACUAACCAGAAAGGGACGGCUAACUACGUGCCAGCAGCCGCGGUAAUAC